rnacentral:sRNA from 1 species
GCUCAUCAAGCAGGGGAAAGGAAAAACACCUCCUUGGGUUGAUCUGAAUAAUAUCAAAGCUUAGAUCCAUCUUAAAAAGUCAUGGAGAAUUUUAACCUGAGGAUCUCAUGGCUCUAAAGACAUAGAUUUCUGAAUUUCAAGGACCUAUUGUCCAGAGCCAGGCCUUGCUCUUACUCUUGGACCAUUCAGCACAUUUAGUGCAAGAGGAUAUUCAAUGUAAGAGUUAAAUGUAGGGGGGAGGUAUUGCCUGUGUGACUAAUUUCUACUCUGAAAUUUUUAAUCUACUUAUCUUACAGUACUCUCAAAAAGAAGAUAAAUAUGAGGAAGAAAUCAAGAUUCUUACUGAUAAACUCAAGGAGGCAGAGACCCGUGCUGAGUUUGCUGAGAGAUCGGUAGCCAAGCUGGAAAAGACAAUUGAUGACUUGGAAGAUAAACUGAAAUGCACCAAAGAGGAGCACCUCUGUACACAAAGGAUGCUGGACCAGACCCUGCUUGACCUGAAUGAGAUGUAGAACACCCCAGUCCCACCCUGCUGCUGCUCCUCCCUCUGACCCAGACUCCGCCUGAGGCCAGCCUGCGGGAAGCUGACCUUUAACUGAGGGCUGAUCUUUAACUGGAA